GAUGAACGCUGGCGGCGUGCCUAAUACAUGCAAGUCGAGCGAAUGGAUUAAGAGCUUGCUCUUAUGAAGUUAGAGGCGGACGGGUGAGUAACACGUGGGUAACCUGCCCAUAAGACUGGGAUAACUCCGGGAAACCGGGGCUAAUACCGGAUAACAUUUUGAACCGCAUGGUUCGAAAUUGAAAGGCGGCUUCGGCUUUCACUUAUGGAUGGACCCGCGUCGCAUUAGCCAGUUGGUGAGGUAACGGCUCACCAAGGCAACGAUGCGUAGCCGACCUGAGAGGGUGAUCGGCCACACUGGGACUGAGACACGGCCCAGACUCCUACGGGAGGCAGCAGUAGGGAAUCUUCCGCAAUGGACGAAAGUCUGACGGAGCAACGCCGCGUGAGUGAUGAAGGCUUUCGGGUCGUAAAACUCUGUUGUUAGGGAAGAACAAGUGCUAGUUGAAUAAGCUGGCACCUUGACGGUACUUAACCAGAAAGCCACGGCUAACUACGUGCCAGCAGCCGCCGUAA
rnacentral:rRNA from 1 species